rnacentral:rRNA from 1 species
CUUUGGACUUAAUUCAGGAAGACUCCCGCUAAC